rnacentral:rRNA from 1 species
AUACGUAGGGGGCGAGCGUUGUCCGGAAUGAUUGGGCGUAAAGGGCGCGUAGGCGGCCCGGUAAGUCUGGAGUGAAAGUCCUGUUUUUAAGAUGGGAAUUGCUUUGGAUACUGUCGGGCUUGAGUGCAGGAGAGGUAAGUGGAAUUCCCAGUGUAGCGGUGAAAUGCGUAGAGAUUGGGGGGAACACCAGUGGCGAAGGCGGAUUUCUGGACUGUAACUGACGUUGAGGCGCGAAAGUGUGGGGAGCAAACAGGAUUUGCUACCCGGGUUGUCCACGCUGUAAACGAGGAAUGCUCGGUUUACGGAGUAUCGACCCCUUCUGUGCCGCAGUCAACAUAAUUAGCAUUCCGCCUGGGGAGUACGGUCGCAAGGUUGAAACUCAAAUGAAUUGGCGGGU